UACAGAGGUCCCAAGCGUUGUUCGGAUUCACUGGGCGUAAAGGGUGCGUAGGCGGUCGGGUAAGUCUGAUGUGAAAUCUCACAGCUUAACUGUGAAACUGCAUUGGAUACUAUUCGGCUUGAGAGUUGGAGGGGGGACUGGAAUUCUGGUGUAGCAGUGAAAUGCGUAGAUAUCAAGAGGAACACCAGUGGCGAAGGCGAGUCCCUGGACAACUUCUGACGCUGAGGCACGAAAGCUAGGGGAGCAAACAGG
rnacentral:rRNA from 1 species